rnacentral:rRNA from 1 species
UACGUAGGCCGCAAGCGUUGUUCGGAAUUACUGGGCGUAAAGCGCGUGUAGGCGGUGCUCUAAGUUCGGUGUGAAAUCUCCCGGCUUAACUGGGAGGGUGCGCCGGAAACUGGUGUGCUUGAGCGCGGGAGAGGAAAGCGGAAUUCCUGGUGUAGCGGUGAAAUGCGUAGAUAUCAGGAGGAACACCUGUGGUGGAGACGGCUUUCUGGACCGUAGCUGACGCUGAGACACGAAAGCGUGGGUAGCAAACAGG